rnacentral:lncRNA from 1 species
CAGUCAAUAAGGCAAAUGCUGCCAUCUAGAGAAAGAUGGUGUGAUGCUGCAGAAUUUAUUUAGUGAUAUCACUUUGUUUUCCAGGCAGUCUCAGGAGAAAGCUGAUCAAGAAUCCUUAGAAUGAACUGCAGCCUCAGGGAUGCAACCCCUUGGAAUGCCUCUCUGUUAUCUGUUUACUCUGAACAGCCAGGAAUGGAAGGGGAAAAGUAACACCGCAGUGGUUGUCCUUGUGACUGCAAGUUCUAGGGAUGCUUUGUUUUGAAAGAUUAUUUGGAAAAGAGUGAGGAUGACAUCACUGGUUUUUGCUUCAUAUUGGACAUUUUAAAUUUUCACUUGAAAGGAUUUCAAACAGUUUGCCAACUGAGUCAGUUUGAUCAGACCCACCAUAGACCAGAUGGAGCAGAACUGAACGUGCUGAGUUGUAUUUGGGCAUUAUCUGUGGAGGCUGUGAAAUGGUCAUUUCACUCU